rnacentral:ribozyme from 1 species
UAGAAAUGCACCACUGGUACGGGUACGAAUUCGACGUCUCUCGAAGAAUGCACAGGCUCUCCGUACCCUACUCUUACUCAAAACGUCCCCGACGUACAGAACGCUAACAUGCCAGGGUCGGCUCGGGUCCUUUUUAGUCCGUGCCUAGGGACUCUAAAUGCUUAGGA